AACUGAUCAAAUGUCGCUUUGGUUCCCUAAAUUUAUCCACAAAAUUUGUGUCUUGGAAAAAUUGCAUUUUGUAUUGGCAGGACAGAAGUUUUAUGCUUAUCAGAGUUGAGUUUUUAGUGCUUUGUGUUCUCUUUCUCCAAGGGUCCCAUGUGUUCUGAAUAAUCCUACCUUUUCCCCAUUCCACAGUAGUGAAGAAAUGUUGCCUGGCGUAUGGAAAGAUCAAAAGACAUCAGUUUCAGAACUUGUCUAUUUUUGUUCCCCAUCAUCCAUGGACAACGCCAGAUUCCUCAUCCAUUUGAGACACAGAAGAAGUUCCACGCAGGCGGCACCUUACCGAGGCCGUGCUAAAGGCCUUGACACCCCUCCCUCCUGUGGUCUUGAGCCUGUUAGAAGAAUGCUGAGGUUUUGGGCCUCCACCUGGAAGUACCCAGCAGUAACUUCAAGAAGCUAAUGAGUAAAGCACAGUAAUGAGAGUAAAUCCCAAUGAACUUAUUUAAAAAACGGAACCACAACUUUGGCAAGGGCAGGAACCAUUGUCUGGAACUUGUUUGUCCAUUUGCAGAGUAUUGUAGCAUGCCUUUGUACAUCCCCUCAGCCUUUCAGAACAGAGAGAUUAGCAACAAAAGACAGAUUUUUCGAAGCUACACACAGCCGUGAUUUAUACCCCACUAUGGAGACUGUUGGGAUGGCUUCUUUGGAUUGAAAAGGGUACCAGCUAACCUCUGUUUUAAUGGGCCACCUGGGACUUUAGCUGUACUGUGUGUGUAAAGCAGAAGACCUCUGAUCCAACCUCCAUCUUUUGUGGAAAAACUUUUUUGUAAUUGCUUUGGGCUUUCUGAAAUUCUUCUCUCAAGAAAAGUAAAAAAUGGUUUCAGGUGCUAUAACCAUUUUAUCCUGGGAUUAUGUAUAACCAACAACAUGAAAUCCCCAGGUUGCCUUUUUUCAUUGCUGGGGUAAAGAUAAUGUUUGCAGAGCAUCUGCAGGGGUUAAGGUACUUUUGAGAACUUUAGAUAAUUUAUGUUCUUGGAGGACUUGCGUCCUUAAGAGAAGGGGGCUGCAGUUGCGUCGUAUCUAACUGGUUAGUUCCAUAUAAGUUCUGUGUUAAUUACAUCAAGGCUAGAGGGUGAAAAAUCACAAGCAAAAAUUACAAGUGAAAAUACCACCUUGCAGAAGUGUUUGGUGUUAUCUACUGAGGUUGAAUACAUGCCCACACUAUGACCCAAUAGUUGCACUUCUAAGUGUGUACCCAACCGAAUUGCACCAAAAGAUGAGUACAAGAAUGUUCACAGCAGCAUUAUUCAUAAUAGCCAAAUCCUAGAAACUACACAAAUGACCAUGGAUAGUAGAAACAAUAAACAAAUUGUGGCAUUUUUACA
rnacentral:lncRNA from 1 species